AGAGAUCUUGAUGCAGACGCCCUUUUGGAUUUCUUUUUAAUAGUGUGUGACCCUUCACCUUUGAUCCCUUGACCUGCAUUACUUUGGACUACAGAUUAAAAUUGUAGCGAGCUGUUCACGUAGUGCCACUGGGCUCAGCUGGUGCCUGGCCUCUGAAGGAGCCUGGAGCUCACCUGAACACCCUCCUGGACUGCAUUUGGCUCUGCUCCUGUCCGGGAGUCCUGCUGACCUGAGCCUGAGCUGUCUCCUUCCCCUCUGAGGAGUCCUCUGUGAGUUUUGAGGGAUUCAGCCCUAGCAGGUUCUACCUGAACUGAGGGGAUGCACCAUCAACAUCAGAACCUGGUUCAGGAAACAGCUGGUUUGAAGUGGCAUCCCUGCCUGAGAACGGUAUAUCCAGCACUGAUCUCUGUACUUAACUGCAAGAUCCUUGUUUUUAAACUGCCCUUGUGUGGCAGAAUUGCCUGCUAAAAUAGUGGCAGAUGCAGUAUCCACAGAAUUCCCUGCCCAGCACCUCUGUGUUACUGUAUGAGUUUCUCUGACCCUGGGGCUAUGAGCUGUGCUGGAUUGUCACAGCCUCCAUCAGUGCUUGAAGCAUUCAGAUGGAUUUUCCCUUCCCCUCCUGUUCCAAAUUUCAGCUGUAAUUGUUUUUGUAGACCUGGAGUUGUCAGUUCUGGUACACAGACUGCUGCUUCUCACCAAGCCUGGCUGGGAUGGCUGGGAUGUGGCUUUGGCUUGGGUUUAAUGCUACCUGUCAGCCUGAGAAGAAGAAUCCUCCAGAAACCAUCUUAAGCCAUUUCUCCAGUCUCCAGAACAGGAAUUUUAAAACUCAUUGGGAAAAAAUACUUACUUACUUUUCCAAAGAAAACUCCUUGAAGACUCUUUUUCUCCUCGUAACACAUAUUUUAUGUUGGCAGCAGUUAGAUGUGAAUGCCUUGACUUUCCAGUGCA